rnacentral:rRNA from 2 species
CAACCCUUAUCCUUUGUUGCCAGCGAUUAGGUCGGGAACUCAAAGGAGACUGCCAGUGAUAAACUGGAGGAAGGUGGGGAUGACGUCAAGUCAUCAUGGCCCUUACGACCAGGGCUACACACGUGCUACAAUGGCGCAUACAAAGAGAAGCGACCUCGCGAGAGCAAGCGGACCUCAUAAAGUGCGUCGUAGUCCGGAUUGGAGUCUGCAACUCGACUCCAUGAAGUCGGAAUCGCUAGUAAUCGUGGAUCAGAAUGCCACGGUGAAUACGUUCCCGGGCCUUGUACACACCGCCCGUCACACCAUGGGAGUGGGUUGCAAAAGAAGUAGGUAGCUUAACCUUCGGGAGGGCGCUUACCACUUUGUGAUUCAUGACUGGGGUGAAGUCGUAACAAGGUAACCGUAGGGGAACCUGCGGUUGGAUCACCUCCUUACCUUAAAGAA